CGAAUUACCUAUUUGAAAAAUAGAAUAUGGUUAAAAAUUGCUGAUGUAAUAGAGGAUUCAAGUACCAUUUACAAAUAAAAUAUUGAAGAUAAUGUGCUCAAAGGAAAUGCAUAUGAAUUCUUUUUUGUUGACCAGGAUGGAACAAUUCUUUGGAAUCCAUAGUUAGAAUAAACUAGUUAGGCCUAGUGGUGUACCAGCCAGAAGUAGAUUCCAAAAAUGCUAGAAGUAUUGUAAAGCACUUAUCUAUUAAUUUGAAUUCAAAUUAACUAUUUAUCGAUAGAGCUUCAAUGGGCCUUUGAAGUUGAAUACGGUAC